rnacentral:rRNA from 1 species
GACGAACGCUGGCGGCGUGCUUAACACAUGCAAGUCGAACGGAAAGGCCCUGCUUUUGUGGGGUGCUCGAGUGGCGAACGGGUGAGUAACACGUGAGUAACCUGCCCUUGACUUUGGGAUAACUUCAGGAAACUGGGGCUAAUACCGGAUAGGAGCUCCUGCUGCAUGGUGGGGUUUGGAAAGUUUCGGCGGUUGGGGAUGGACUCGCGGCUUAUCAGCUUGUUGGUGGGGUAGUGGCUUACCAAGGCUUUGACGGGUAGCCGGCCUGAGAGGGUGACCGGCCACAUUGGGACUGAGAUACGGCCCAGACUCCUACGGGAGGCAGCAGUGGGGAAUAUUGCACAAUGGGCGGAAGCCUGAUGCAGCAACGCCGCGUGCGGGAUGACGGACUUCGGGUUGUAAACCGCUUUCGCCUGUGACGAAGCGUGAGUGACGGUACUGGGUAAAGAAGCACCGGCUAACUACGUG